GUCUACGGUCAUACCACCCUGAACAUGCCUGAUCUCUUCUGAUCUUGAAAGCUAAGCAGAGUCAGGCCUAGUUAGUACUUGGAUGGGAGAAAAUAGAUAGAAUAGGAAAUAUAAACA
rnacentral:rRNA from 1 species